CACACUCAGAAUGAAGAUUCGACUUCGGCAGAAAUAUCUGCCGAACGUGCUCGGCAAAGUGAUAUUCUGCCGAAAUCUCGGCAGCAAAUUCAUUGUUCCAAUAUUCUCGGUUAAAUUUAACCGAUAGUUCGGCAGAUCUAAGCAAAAUGCCGAAGUUUGUCAGUUAAAUUUAACGAAAAUCUCGGCAUGUCCAAAAUCUACCGAGUUCGGCAAUUCAACUGUCAAAUUUGCUAGAAAGUGCCGAGCUGUUCGGUUAGAUGUUGAGGUAGCCAUAUUUGUUUUCGAUAUGAGUAGUGCUCACUGAACUAAGUUCCGGAACUUUGGAUAAAUCGGGAUUUAUACUUGAAUUUCUACAGGAUUUCUGCUUGGAUUUCUACUUGAAAGCUUUUACCAAGGAAAUGCAUGACGAUGGUGCUUGGUAGAAGUAUAGGAUUCAUUCUGGUUCAGAUUGUAUUAGAUUAUACAUAAAAAGAGCAAUAAAUAUAAAAAAGCAUGCAUGCAUAUUGUUUUAAAGCUUUAAAUUAAUUGCGAGAAUCUCGAUUUGGUUUUAUUAUGAUAAAUGCCGAGAUUUUCGGUUGAAUUCGUUUCAGGGAUGCCGAGAUUUUCGGCACAAAAAAGCUGGCUGUCAAAAUUAUUUUUGCCGAGACUUCGGCAGAUGAAUUUUCUGCCGAACUCUCUGCCGA